rnacentral:rRNA from 1 species
GACGAACGCUGGCGGCGUGCUUAACACAUGCAAGUCGAACGAUGAAGCUAGAGCUUGCUCUGGUGAAUUAGUGGCGAACGGGUGAGUAACACGUGAGUAACCUGCCCCGAACUCUGGGAUAACUGCUGGAAACGGUAGCUAAUACUGGAUACGACCUACGAAGGCAUCUUCUGUAGGUGGAAAGAAUUUCGGUUCGGGAUGGACUCGCGGCCUAUCAGCUUGUUGGUGAGGUAAUGGCUCACCAAGGCGACGACGGGUAGCCGGCCUGAGAGGGUGACCGGCCACACUGGGACUGAGACACGGCCCAGACUCCUACGGGAGGCAGCAGUGGGGAAUAUUGCACAAUGGGCGCAAGCCUGAUGCAGCAACGCCGCAUGAGGGACGACGGCCUUCGGGUUGUAAACCUCUUUUAGUAGGGAAGAAGCGAAAGUGACGGUACCUGCAGAAAAAGCACCGGCUAACUACGUGCCAGCCGCCGCCGUAA